UGAUUAUGAUUUUAGGUYUGACCUGCCCAAUGACGAAUUAAAUGGCCGCGGUAAAUUGACCGUGCAAAGGUAGCAUAGUCAUUAGUUUUUUAAUUGAAAGCUUGAAUGAAAGGUUUGAUGGGAAAGAGGCUGUCUCUGGAGAAAUUUAUUAGAAUUUUAUUUUUAAGUGAGAAAGCUUAAAUUUUUAUAGAAGACGAGAAGACCCUGUAGAGUUUAAUAAAUAAAAAUGUUUUUAAAUUGAGGCUUAUAUUUAUGGGGACAUAUUUUCAUAUUUAUUUUAUUGGGGUGAUGGGAAAAUUAACUAAACUUUUCUUUUAUUAAAAUAUUAAUGAGUAACUUUAUGAUCCUUUAGUUUAGAUUAUAAGAAUAAAUUACCUCAGGGAUAACAGCGUAAUUUUUUUUAGAGUUCUUAUCGAAAAAAUAGAUUGCGACCUCGAUGUUGGAUUAAAAUUAACUAUUGGUGAAGAAGCUAAUAAGUUGGGUCUGUUCGACCUUUGAAAUUUUACAUGAUCUGAGUUUAAACCGGCG
rnacentral:rRNA from 1 species